CCCUUAGAUGUUCUGGGCCGCACGCGCGCUACACUGAUUCAUGCAACAAGUUUUGUCCUUGGCUGAUAGGCCUGGGUAAUCUUUGAACGUGAAUCGUGAUGGGGAUAGAUGAUUGCAAUUAUUCAUCUUCAACGAGGAAUUCCUAGUAAACGCAAGUCAUCAGCUUGCAUUGAUUACGUCCCGGCCCUUUGUACACACCGCCCGUCGCACCUACCGAUUGAAUGGUCCGGUGAAAUCUUCGGAUCUGAGAGAUGUCUGAUUAAUUUCGGACGCCUUUUGGAAAAGUUGUUUAAACCUUACCAUUUAGAGGAAGGUGAAGUCGUAACA
rnacentral:rRNA from 1 species